rnacentral:rRNA from 1 species
UACGUAGGGGGCUAGCGUUGUCCGGAAUCAUUGGGCGUAAAGCGCGCGUAGGCGGCCCGGUAAGUCCGCUCUGAAAGUCCAGGGCUCAACCCUGGAAAGCGGGUGGAUACUGCCGGGCUUGAGUACGGAAGAGGCGAGUGGAAAUUCCUGGUGUAGCGGUGAAAUGCGCAGAUAUCAGGAGGAACACCAAUUGCGAAGGCAGCUCGCUGGGACGUUACUGACGCUGAGACGCGAAAGCGGUGGGGGAGCAAAACAGG